rnacentral:rRNA from 1 species
UACGUAGGGCGCAAGCGUUGUCCGGAAUUACUGGGCGUAAAGAGCUCGUAGGUGGUUUGUCGCGUUGUUCGUGAAAACUCACAGCUUAACUGUGGGCGUGCGGGCGAUACGGGCAGACUGGAGUACUGCAGGGGAGACUGGAAUUCCUGGUGUAGCGGUGGAAUGCGCAGAUAUCAGGAGGAACACCGGUGGCGAAGGCGGGUCUCUGGGCAGUAACUGACGCUGAGGAGCGAAAGCGUGGGGAGCGAACAGG